GGAAAAUAUUGACUAACUUGCUCAAGGUCGUAGUGAGCUAAUGACCAAGCUGGGAUUCAAUGCCCAUCUGACAGAUGUCAAAGUCCUGGAGAGUCUCACUGCACCUUUCUGACUCACUGAACUCACACAGGGCCCUGUUGUGGUGGGGACUGACACGGAAGUGCCCAGGAAGUGAGGAAGUUGGACUUCCAGGAAGGGCAGGAUUAGAGAGAUGCUCAUCAACACGAAAUCUACAAUUCCCUUAUAAUUGGCUAUGUGGAUGUAGGGCCUAUUGCAUUCCAGGUAGAGUUUUUAGAGGAUGGACUUCCUUAAUUCUUGCAAUGGCAUCAUGAAGUAAGAAUGAUGGCGGUACCCAUUUUGUGUGUGUGUGUGUGUGUGUGUGUGUGUGUGUGUCUGUGUGUGGUUUGAGACCGGGAUCUCAUUCAGGCUGGCCUUGAAUUUACUAUGUAUCUCAGGCUGGUCUCAAACUCAUGACAACCCUCCUGCCUCAGCCUCCUGAGUACUGGGAUUAUAGGUGGGUACCACCACGCCCAUCUGUAUCCAUUUUUAAUAUUAGAAAACUCCAGCAGGGGGAGGAUUUAAAACCAGG
rnacentral:lncRNA from 1 species